GUAUAUUUAACUUUAUAGGUACAAACGACCUUAUUCAACAUUCUAAACAGAUUCAUAGGUUUGUGAAAAUGACAUAGACCCGAAAAAUACAAGGGAAAGCCGACUUGAGAAAAGCGCAGCAGUCCCCAACUCGAAAGAUGAAUCAAUCAAUUUCAAUCAGGUCUACAAAAGGUGCACAGUUGGGAGAAUAUAAAGAUGACAGGCGUGCACAUACCCCCCCAGAGGGAGGGCCAGCAGAACAACCUGAUCAAGUUUAUUCAAUAAUGAUCCUUCCGCAGGUUCACCUACGGAAA
rnacentral:misc_RNA from 1 species